CCUACGGGCGGCAGCAGUGGGGAAUAUUGCACAAUGGGGGAAACCCUGAUGCAGCGACGCCGCGUGAGUGAAGAAGUAUCUCGGUAUGUAAAGCUCUAUCAGCAGGGAAGAAACCCACCCUCCGGGGUGGCUGACGGUACUUGACUAAGAAGCCCCGGCUAACUACGUGGCAGCAGCCGCGGUAAUACGGAGGGGGCAAGCGUUAUCCGGCUUUACUGGGUGUAAAGGGGGCGUAGGUGGCAAGGCAAGUCAGAUGUGAAAACCCGGGGCCCAACCCCGGGAGUGCAUUUGACACUGUCUGGCUAGAGUGCAGGAGAGGUAGGUGGAAUGCAUGGUGUAGCGGUGAAAUGCAUAGAGAUUAGGAGGAACACCGGUGGCGAAGGCGGCUUACUGGGCUGUAACUGACGCUGAGGCUCGAAAGCGUGGGGAGCAAACAGGAUUAGAUACCCUUGUAGUC
rnacentral:rRNA from 1 species